rnacentral:rRNA from 1 species
CAGUAGCCGCGGUAAUACGUAGGUGGCAAGCGUUGUCCGGAAUUAUUGGGCGUAAAGGGCUCGCAGGCGGUUUCUUAAGUCUGAUGUGAAAGCCCCCGGCUCAACCGGGGAGGGUCAUUGGAAACUGGGAAACUUGAGUGCAGAAGAGGAGAGUGGAAUUCCACGUGUAGCGGUGAAAUGCGUAGAGAUGUGGAAGAACACCGGUGGCGAAGGCGGCGACCUGGUCCAUUACUGACGCUGAGGCGCGAAAGCGUGGGGAGCAAACAGGAUUAGAUACCCCAGUAGUCCCUGUCUCUUAUAC